rnacentral:rRNA from 1 species
CCUACGGGGGGCAGCAGUGGGGAAUAUUGCACAAUGGGGGAAACCCUGAUGCAGCGACGCCGCGUGAGUGAAGAAGUAUUUCGGUAUGUAAAGCUCUAUCAGCAGGAAAGAAAAUGACGGUACCUGACUAAGAAGCCCCGGCUAACUACGUGCCAGCAGCCGCGGUAAUACGUAGGGGGCAAGCGUUAUCCGGAAUUACUGGGUGUAAAGGGUGAGUAGGCGGCAUGGUAAGCCAGAUGUGAAAGCCUUGGGCUUAACCCGAGGAUUGCAUUUGGAACUAUCAAGCUAGAGUACAGGAGAGGAAAGCGGAAUUCCUAGUGUAGCGGUGAAAUGCGUAGAUAUUAGGAAGAACACCAGUGGCGAAGGCGGCUUACUGGACUGUAACUGACGUUGAGGCUCGAAAGCGUGGGGAGCAAACAGGAUUAGAUACCCCAGUAG